AUGAUGAGCUCCUCCGACAACGUAGCCGCCGGCCAGAAGACGGGGUGGCCGGAAGUUGUUGUGUUGUGCGCUGAAGAAGCCAAGAAGAUCAUCUUGGCAGACAAGCCUGACGCCGACAUCAUGGUGCUCCCCGUCGGUACGCCGAUGACCAAGGACUUCAGGCCCGACCGCGUCCUCGUCUUCGUCGACAUCGUCGCUGACACCCCAAGCAUCGGCUAG
rnacentral:rRNA from 1 species